GACGAACGCUGACGGCGUGCUUAACACAUGCAAGUCGAAGGGAGUGGCGAACGGGUGAGUAACACGUGAGUAACCUGCCCUUUUCUUUGGGAUAAUCCUGGGAAACUGGGUCAAAUACUGGAUGGAUUGGGCUGGGAUCGGGGCUUCUCAGCUGGGUGGUGGGGUGCUGGCUUACCAAGGCUUUGACGGGUGGCCGGCAUGAGAGGGCGGUCGGGAACACAGGCACUGUGAUGCGGCCCACGCUCGGACGGGGGGGGGCAGUGGGGGCUAUGGGCCAAUGCACGAAGGACCGAUGCCGCGACGUCGUGUAGGGGAUGAGGGUCUUAGGGUUCUAAACUCCGGUCGCCCGCGGAAUGGUAGUGGGUGAAGAAGCGCCGGCUAACUACGUGCCAGCAGCCGCGGUAAUUC
rnacentral:rRNA from 1 species